rnacentral:rRNA from 1 species
GAAACUAGUAAAGUGGCGCACGGGUGAGUAACGCGUGGGUAAUCUACCUCCGAAUUGGGGAUAACAUUGCGAAAGCGAUGCUAAUACCGAAUGACAUCUCAAUAACCUCAGUUUUUGAGAUCAAAGGUGGCCUCUCCAUGGAAGCUUCUGUUUGGAGAUGAGCCCGCGUACCAUUAGCUUGUUGGUAGGGUAAUGGCCUACCAAGGCAACGAUGGUUAGCUGGUCUGAGAGGAUGAUCAGCCACACUGGAACUGACACACGGUCCAGACUCCUACGGGAGGCAGCAGUGAGGAAUUUUGCGCAAUGGGGGAAACCCUGACGCAGCAACGCCGCGUGAGUGAUGAAGGCCUUCGGGUCGUAAAGCUCUGUCAAGUGGGAAGAACUUGCCUUUUGCUAAUAUCAAUCGGCACUGACGGUACCACUGAAGGAAGCACCGGCUAACUCCGUGCCAGCAGCCGCGGUAAUACGGGGGGUGCAAGCGUUAUUCGGAAUCACUGGGCGUAAAGAGCGCGUAGGCGGUUUUUUAAGUCAGAUGUGAAAGCCCGGGGCUCAACCCCGGAAGUGCAUUUGAAACUAAGAGACUUGAGUAUGGGAGAGGGAAGUGGAAUUCCUGGUGUAGCGGUGAAAUGCGUAGAUAUCAGGAGGAACACCGGUG